rfam:Camelus ferus unplaced genomic scaffold scaffold1500, whole genome shotgun sequence.
GAGGAUAUAGCACAGUGGUAGAGUGCCUUAGCAUGCAGGAGGUCCUGGGUUCAAUCCCCAGUACCUUGA